ensembl:snRNA U6 U6 spliceosomal RNA
GUUUGCUAUUUGCCAACUCAAAUUCUAAGUGGAAACAUUCAAAUAUUAGCAUGGCCCCAGUGCAAGGAUGACACAAACAUUUGGAAAAGAGAUGCUCAAUUUUU